UAAUACGAAGGGUGCAAGCGUUACUCGGAAUUACUGGGCGUAAAGGGUGCGUAGGUGGUUGUUUAAGUCUGCUGUGAAAGCCCCGGGCUCAACCUGGGAAUGGCAGUGGAUACUGGACAGCUAGAGUGCGGUAGAGGGUAGUGGAAUUCCCGGUGUAGCAGUGAAAUGCGUAGAGAUCGGGAGGAACACCAGUGGCGAAGGCGGCUACCUGGACCAGCACUGAC
rnacentral:rRNA from 1 species